UCGAGGAUCUUCGGCAAUGGGCGCAAGCCUGACCGAGCGACGCCGCGUGCGCGAUGAAGGCCUUCGGGUUGUAAAGCGCUGUCGAGGGGAAGAAAAGCCGCAAGGCCUGAUCGACCCCUGGAGGAAGCACGGGCUAAGUUCGUGCCAGCAGCCGCGGUAAGACGAACCGUGCGAACGUUGUUCGGAAUCACUGGGCUUAAAGGGCGCGUAGGCGGGUCGUCAAGUCCGGAGUGAAAUCCCCCAGCUUAACUGGGGAACGGCUUCGGAUACUGACGGUCUCGAGUGGGGUAGGGGCAUGUGGAACUUCCGGUGGAGCGGUGAAAUGCGUAGAUAUCGGAAGGAACGCCGGUGGCGAAAGCGACGUGCUGGACCCUUUCUGACGCUGAGGCGCGAAAGCCAGGGGAGCAAACGGGAUUAGAUACCCCCGUAGUCC
rnacentral:rRNA from 1 species